rnacentral:rRNA from 1 species
UACGGAGGGUGCAAGCGUUAAUCGGAAUUACUGGGCGUAAAGCGCGCGUAGGCGGCUGGGUAAGUCGAUUGUGAAAGCCUUGGGCUCAACCUGAGAAUUGCAGUCGAGACUGUUCGGCUAGAGUGUGGGAGAGGGUGGUGGAAUUCCCGGUGUAGCGGUGAAAUGCGUAGAUAUCGGGAGGAACAUCAAAGGAGAAGGCGACCACCGGGAUCUACACUGACGCUGAGGUGCGAAAGCGUGGGUAGCAAGCAGG